CCUUCUCUCACAGGAAUGCCAAUGAGUCAUAGGUUUGGUCUCUUUAGAGAAUCUAUUUCUCAAAGGCUUUGUUCAUUUUUUUAAGUCAUUUUUCUUUAUUUUUGUCUAACUGGGUUGAUUCAAACGGCUAGUCUUCAAGCUCUGAAAUUCUCAGCUUGGUCUAAUCUGUUGUUCAGGCUUCCACUGUAUUUUGAAAUUCCUGUAGUGAAUUUUUCAAUUCCAGAAGUUCAGUUUGAUUAUUUCUUAAACUGGCUAUGUCAUCUUCCAACUCUUGUAUCAACAACUGGCUUUCUUGGAUUGAAUUUCAACUUUCUCUCGAAUCUUGAGCCUCCUUGCCAUCCAGAUUCCUAAUUCUAUGUCUGUCAUUUCAGACAUUUCAAUUUGGUGAGGAUCUAUUGCUGCGGAGCUAGUACAAUACUUUAUAGUCUAGGUGUCUCCACUGAACUCCAGACUUGUAUCAACUGCAUACUCAAUGUCACCACUCAGAUGAUAAAUUUGCAUCUCAAACUUAAUGUCUGAAAAGGAACUCUUGAUUCGGCUGCAUACUCCCACCAAGUUAGCUCCUUGCACAACCGUCUCCAACUUGGAAAAUGGAAGCUCCUGUUUUGCAGUUGCUCGAGCCAAAAAUCUUGAGAUUUUCAACACUGAAGUGAUAACAUGUGAACUGUGGAAAGGAAGGGGGUGAAGGGUGGAGCCAGCAGGAGGACUGUGAUCUUCAGAACCCUGUCACCAAUAUGAGAACUACCUCAGGCUAGCCUGCUGGAAGAUAAGAAACAACAUGGACCAGAGCCAAGUCAUCCUAGCCAAGGCUAUCCUAGACCAACCAACACAGCCACAUUCUCAGCUGAUCACAGAUGCAUGAGCAAGCCCAGCCAAGAUCUGCAGAACCACCCAGAGAAACCCAUAGACUCAUGAAAAAUCAUAAAUGUUUGUUGUUUAAGCAACUAAGUUUGGGGAUGGUUUGUUACAUACUAGUAGUUAACUGAUACAAACAACCAUGCUGGACCACUAUACUAUAUUUUCCUUCAAAUGAUACUGGCUUCACUUGACUCUAGGAUCCUCCAGGAAUGGAUAGCUCCAGCUGUGAAGAACCUUCCUUUAGACUAUCACCUCAUUGCUCCUCAUCCCUGUCUUACCCCUGCCCCUACCAUUAUGCCAACCCAUAAAGGCAGUUAUAAUUAUUCCUCACCUUUAUUCCUUAGUUUUUUCUGGAGUAGAGAGGAAACCAGGGUGCCUCAACUCUAGCACAAUUUUGAGCUCUGUUUCCUUGCCUACUUCUUUGCCCAUCUCUCCAUCAUUUAGGAGGUGGGUUGGAAUUAGCCACAGUCAGUUGUGCCAAAAUAAUAUACCAGGGUAAUGAGAAGAAGGCACAGAUAGCGCUGGGAAUCAACCCCUCGCACCUUUGGCCUGUCUCUCAGGGUGAGCUUCUUACUCAGUAGUGGUGGGGACCCAAAGUCCCUGAAGGCAUGCUCCUGCUUUGUCACCUGAUCCCCAAAUGAAACCUUGCAAAGCUAAAUUCUCCCUGCCUGCCAGGACUCAGGCAGGGGGCAGCAAGCAGUACCUACAUAGGACUGAAUGGCCCCAGCUGCUCAACUCGAAUUUAAAAAUAAUUUGGCAAUGUGUUCCACAGAGUGAAAGCCUUCUGGGGCAUUUCUGCCAGAUGCCUCCAGCUACUGGGUUCCCACGGAAAGGGAGUGUCAAGUCCUGGGCCCAGAAGAUAUUCUGGGGAUCUGGAACAGGGUACAUACUGAAGGCAAUCCAUUAAAAAUGGGAUUAGAAAUCUCUCAAAGAAAGAAAAAGAUACAUAAAACAUAACUGUUUUUCUAUUGGAAUAUUUUAAAACUUUUUUUUUGCUAUUAGGCACUCAAUAAAUGCUAAAUGAUGCUAAUUCUUCUAGCACUUCUUGCUUUAUGAGUGAAGCUUGGAUCGUGGGGAUUCAUUGCUCAAAAGGCCAAUAGCUAAGUGACCUGGGUUGGUGAAGAGAAACCAAUACUCCCCAGGGCAAAUCCAGCCUCACUGUGCCAUUAAACACUCAGCACCCCUCACUCAUUACACUUCAACAAUAGUUUAGUUUUAAUUUCUUUCCUUUAUAUUUCACAGCCCUAAAGGAAAAUGUCCUGUGACAAUUCUGUAAUAGUGAGACAAUUACUGGUGACUCAGGGCUCCCUGCUGCCUCUGCAUCUCACAGCGGAGGAGCAGGCAGAGACUACUGCUUCCCAUAUAGGAACAAUUUGGUUUGUGAAUUAGGAAAGUCAGCAUCAAAAGGAAUCUUAAAAAAAAAAAUGCCUAUGUAAGAUAAAAAUUUAGCCCAAGGAUCCUAUUUCAGGAUGAGAGUCGAUUGUAGGCACUGAGUCCCUGAGGAAGCUCUUCAAAUAGACACACAAAUAUUUCAAGCAGUGACUUGCCCAUCUGCCCCACUACCCACAGCAUCCAGGCAGUCCACAAGGAUCCAGACCCUGGGUUCCCAAAAAUCUGAUUUCUCCUUUUUGUUAUCCAAACUCUCUCCGUUUCACCUUUACCGAUAAAUGAGGAGGAGGCAGUAAACUGAUGUGCUCCUUGACAGCAAAAACUCUGUCAUCUCUGCAACUCAAGCACCCAACCCAAGCCUGAGUCUGGACGAACAAAGUUUAAGGCGUCCUAGGGUAGAGGACAAGGGCAUUCCCAAGUUCCCAGUGGAUUGUGCUCCAAAGCUCUUUUGUAAACUGGUAGUUUCGAACUUGGAAAGCAUUUUCUUUUUCCAUAAGUAUAAAGCUCUAGAGGAAGCCUAAGUCCUUAGACUAGGUCAUACAGCUCUAUUUAGCCACAAAAAUCUAAUAAUGCAUCCAAAGUAGAGAACUUCAGC
rnacentral:lncRNA from 1 species